rnacentral:rRNA from 1 species
UACGGAGGGGGCUAGCGUUGUUCGGAAUUACUGGGCGUAAAGCGCGCGUAGGCGGACCUGCAAGUCGGGGGUGAAAGCCCGAGGCUCAACCUCGGAACUGCCUUCGAUACUGCGGGUCUCGAGUCCGGGAGAGGUGAGUGGAAUUCCUAGUGUAGAGGUGAAAUUCGUAGAUAUUAGGAAGAACACCAGUGGCGAAGGCGCUCACUGGCCCGGUACUG